GAUGUGGGUUUGAUCCCUGGGUCAGGAAGAUCUCCUGGAGAAGGAAAUAGCAACCCACUCCAGUAUUCUUGCCUGGGAAAUUUUACGGACAGAGGAGCCGGGCAUUCUGUAGUCCAAGGAGUCAUAAAAGAGUCAGAUACCCACUUAGU